GCACCAAUCCAUUCAACACAUAGUGUGUAUGUGUGUUUACAGUUGCCUAGUUGCUGAAUGUGCACAGCCUCGCGUUCUCUCCCAGCAGCUGCGUGUUUCCCAAGGCUAUCGAUUUUCUUAUACAGCACAUAGCAGAACAGCAUGCAAAUCUUCCACAUGAUCAACUCUCAAAUAGGAAUGAGCCAGCGUGGGUGCAGCCCUAUGUGAGGUGAUGUGAGCCAGUCAGAUGAAGACAUCAAAUGCCAUUGCUGGAACCGUGACACCCACUGAAGAGCUGGAGAGCAGGGCAAAUGUUGAUUUCCCUUCCUGACGGGCUGAGCAAACAUGCAAUAACAAUAUGGAGUAGAUUCCACAUUGUUUUUGCGCUGGAAGGAGAACCGGCGUGUCGGUCUUUCAACACAGCAGCUUCAGCAACAAAAGGUACUGUCUGUACCUGGUUUUCUCAACAGAGGAAAGCUGCCCACACAUUUAUUUUCAGAUCUAGAAAACACCGGGUGCACUGGCAGUGUGUGUUUAACAUCCCCUCUCUGUCAUCGCCCACAAGAGAUAAGAACUGUUAAACAUUCAGGUGCUCAUUUGAGUCUUCCAGGCUAGCUAAAAAGAACAGCUUUGUAACAGCGCAUUGCCUAUUUGCUAAAUAUACAGCUGUGACAUUUGUUGUCAUGGAUUUUCUCACAUGUGAUAACACGUGAUGAGAAAAUCCACUUUGUCUACAGUAUAUUUAUUUAUAUAUGAUUUCUAAUAUUCUAUAUAACUUUAAUUUAUAGUUACAACACUGGAGCUCAUUGUGUAUACAAUAUGUUAUUUAAAACAAGUUUCACUGCAUGCAGGUGGAAUGUACUUACUGUACUCUUACUGUAAAUCUAUGUGUAUGAAGCAAUCAAUUUGAUGCUGGUGAAAAUUAUACAUCAACCCAUGCCUUCAUCGAUUGUUGGGGGGAGGUAAUUUUCUCCAAUAAAAAGUUAAAAUCAGUUAAAAUAAAAAAUUCAUAGCACAAAUUAAAGCCAGUGAUUAAAAAUGUCUUGUUGAUUAGAGGAGAAUAGCCAGACUGUUUUGAGCUGAUAGGAAGCCAAUGGUAACUGAAAUAACCACUCAUUAUAACUAAGGUAUGAAGAAAGGAGUCUCUUGAAACACAGCAUGCUUAACCUUGAAAGCAACAGAAGACCUGCAUUGGGGCUUCUGAACACCAUCUCCAGCGUCUUGUUGAAUCUAUGCCAUGAAGACUUAAGGCACUUGUGAAGGCAAAAGAGGGACUACAAGCGAGGUGUAAUUAACAAAGUGGCCAGUGAGUGUAUUUGAUUUUGACAAAUUCAUACUCUAUGCCUGGCUUCUUCACAGAACAGUUGUUUUUGUCCCUACAUUUACAUUAACCAUUGUUAACUUUGCAGGUGAUGCAACAGUAACUGGGCUUAUGUCCAACAUAAAUGAGUCAGCCUACAGAGCGGAGGUACAGAACAUGAAGAGCUGGUGCUUGGAGAACAACAUGUUCUUUAUUAAAACAAAUGCCAAGUGGCUUAUAUUAACUGUAGAAUGUCAGAGAAGGCCUUUUCGUCAGAAGAGACAGUGUAAAGAGAAUGCCUAACACAUCUCACAGGGCCUCACGCAGUCUACCAACACUGUUUCAGUCUAGAAAGAAGAGCGGCUUUUCUUGAGGUAGCUGAAGAAACCAUGUCUGGCACAAUUCAGCACUGUAGAGUGCAUCCUAACAAGUGAGCCACACAGCACCUGAUAAGAAAGCUUUUUACAGUCUUGUCCUGCAAAAGGAAAACAGUUGGGUUCAGCUCAGUUAGUUCAUCUAUGUCUUGCACUGCAGCAGGAAGGCAUAAGUGUAAAGCCUUCUUUGCAUGCACCUCCAAACUGACAAUAGUUUUUUCCCAGUGCAGUGACUGCUCUUGAUCAGUCAACAAACUACCACACAUGAGCUACUACUCCUGUAACUAUACUGAGGACAGCUUACUUCAUAGACACAUGUUUACUACAGCAUCACAGUAGUUCUAUGGUAUGAAUUCUCAACUCGUCUCAAUAUCUAGAUCUAUAACACAGUGACAAACACUGUUAUCAUUAUACCACAGUGUACAAGAGCUAACACAUUUUAUAAUAUUUACUUAUUUUUUUACUAUUACCAAAUACUAUUUUUUUGCUAGUUAUUUUACAACAAUUGCUUGGCAAACUUAAUGUUGCUGAACGUGUGCAAGAUUAUUGAACUUUCUGUAACAAAGCUAUGCUAGUCCCUUCUAUCUUUAUGUUCAUUUGUAUAUGGAAAUCCCUGAAACAUGAAUCAUGGCACACACCAAAUCAUUUGUGCUCUAAGCAAAUUUGCAAUGUCUGUUGUUGUAUUGUAAAACUCAGAAUCUAAGAUAACGAGUGAGAGAGACAUGAGUUUGAAUUAUGCUGCUGAACUGUAACUAAUAUAAGCCAGCUGAGUGGAAACAAACAAAAUAGUUCUCCCAUUGUUAACUGUAUUUCUACAUGAAAAUCUGUCCCAUGACUGUAACUAUGGUGAGUCAACUAAAAAUAACUUUAUCAGGAAUAGACGAUUUGGAACAACUGUUUUAGUAGUUUCAAUGUUUAUUUGAGUGUCAUUAUCGUUUAUAAUAACCCAAAAAAAGUCAAAGGCAGACACUACUCAGCACACUUUCAAUUAUUUCUUAUUAAUCUAAAUGUAUUAUGUAUGAAUGUGUUAUGCAGAUAUUGUGAUGGUCUGCUUUAUAAGUCCCCUUUCUAAUAAGUUGCUAUUACAAUGUCCAAGUGGCGACCAUUGAUGACAUGCUGUGAUCAAAAAUGUCUUCUCAUUGCUGUGUUUAGGAUGAAAACUGUUUCCAUUUUGCUAAAAGCUGAGGGCAUGAAUGAUAUUGUGCUGCCCAGGAGGGGAGAGAAGCUGCAGUUCUCCAGUUAUAUGCCUUUCACAGCAGGUUUGGCAAUCGCCGCUUCUUCUCAGAAUAACAAUCACUCUUUGUACUUUCUUAUUCCAGGGCAGCAGACACACCUUCAUUCCCUGGGCAAGAAACUUGUAAUUGAAACAAAUAGCACUAAAUGCCACCUCUUACACUGGUAUAUGUAUUAAAUAAAGGUGACUCGUCUUGCUGGGAGUUGUAAAAUGGUUUAUUUUGAUUGCUGAAAGCCUGGAAAAACAUUUUAAAGAAAGUGUUGCACUUUUACUUUGACCUGUCAUUUCAGGUUCUUGCAUAUAGGCCCACUGUCCCAGUAAGUAACUUCCCUUCUUCUGUAUUCAUAAGCCAUGAAACAAAAUGGAUACUCCUUUCAAUCAACUUAUGGAUUCUUGAUGUUCACAUUGUACUGGUCUAGAUAUUGUUAGUUCUCUUGUGAGUUUUUUGUUUUUUUUGCCUGUCCCAUUUGGCUC